GCGGAUGUGGUGGAAUGGUAGACACAACAGACUUAAAAUCUGUUGAGGCUUGUCCUCGUGCGGGUUCGAGUCCCGCCUUCCGCACCA
rnacentral:tRNA from 1 species